rnacentral:rRNA from 1 species
UUUAUGGGGUGACUGCGUACCUUUUGUAUAAUGGGUCAGCGACUUAUAUUCUGUAGCAAGGUUAACCGUAUAGGGGAGCCGAAGGGAAACCGAGUCUUAACUGGGCGUUAAGUUGCAGGGUAUAGACCCGAAACCCGGUGAUCUAGCCAUGGGCAGGUUGAAGGUUGGGUAACACUAACUGGAGGACCGAACCGACUAAUGUUGAAAAAUUAGCGGAUGACUUGUGGCUGGGGGUGAAAGGCCAAUCAAACCGGGAGAUAGCUGGUUCUCCCCGAAAGCUAUUUAGGUAGCGCCUCGUGAACUCAUCUUCGGGGGUAGAGCACUGUUUCGGCUAGGGGGCCAUCCCGGCUUACCAACCCGAUGCAAACUACGAAUACCGAAGAAUGUUAUCACGGGAGACACACGGCGGGUGCUAACGUCCGUCGUGAAGAGGGAAACAACCCAGACCGCCAGCUAAGGUCCCAAAGUCAUGGUUAAGUGGGAAACGAUGUGGGAAGGCACAGACAGCCAGGAUGUUGGCUUAGAAGCAGCCAUCAUUUAAAGAAAGCGUAAUAGCUCACUGGUCGAGUCGGCCUGCGCGGAAGAUGUAACGGGGCUAAACCAUGCACCGAAGCUGCGGCAGCGACGCUUAUGCGUUGUUGGGUAGGGGAGCGUUCUGUAAGCCGUUGAAGGUGUCCUGUGAGGGGUGCUGGAGGUAUCAGAAGUGCGAAUGCUGACAUAAGUAACGAUAAAGCGGGUGAAAAGCCCGCUCGCCGGAAGACCAAGGGUUCCUGUCCAACGUUAAUCGGGGCAGGGUGAGUCGACCCCUAAGGCGAGGCCGAAAGGCGUAGUCGAUGGGAAACAGGUUAAUAUUCCUGUACUUGGUGUUACUGCGAAGGGGGGACGGAGAAGGCUAUGUUAGCCGGGCGACGGUUGUCCCGGUUUAAGCAUGUAGGCGGAGGUUCCAGGUAAAUCCGGUUCCUUAUUAACGCUGAGGUGUGAUGACGAGGCACUACGGUGCUGAAGUAACAAAUGCCCUGCUUCCAGGAAAAGCCUCUAAGCAUCAGGUAACAUCAAAUCGUACCCCAAACCGACACAGGUGGUCAGGUAGAGAAUACCAAGGCGCUUGAGAGAACUCGGGUGAAGGAACUAGGCAAAAUGGUGCCGUAACUUCGGGAGAAGGCACGCUGAUAUGUAGGUGAAGCCCCUGCGGGUGGAGCUGAAAUCAGUCGAAGAUACCAGCUGGCUGCAACUGUUUAUUAAAAACACAGCACUGUGCAAACACGAAAGUGGACGUAUACGGUGUGACGCCUGCCCGGUGCCGGAAGGUUAAUUGAUGGGGUUAGCGGCAACGCGAAGCUCUUGAUCGAAGCCCCGGUAAACGGCGGCCGUAACUAUAACGGUCCUAAGGUAGCGAAAUUCCUUGUCGGGUAAGUUCCGACCUGCACGAAUGGCGUAAUGAUGGCCAGGCUGUCUCCACCCGAGACUCAGUGAAAUUGAACUCGCUGUGAAGAUGCAGUGUACCCGCGGCAAGACGGAAAGACCCCGUGAACCUUUACUAUAGCUUGACACUGAACACUGGUCCUUGAUGUGUAGGAUAGGUGGGAGGCUUUGAAGCGUGGACGCCAGUCUGCGUGGAGCCAACCUUGAAAUACCACCCUUUAAUGGCUGGUGUUCUAACGUAGACCCGUAAUCCGGGUUGCGGACAGUGUCUGGUGGGUAGUUUGACUGGGGCGGUCUCCUCCCAAAGAGUAACGGAGGAGCACGAAGGUUAGCUAAUCCUGGUCGGACAUCAGGAGGUUAGUGCAAUGGCAUAAGCUAGCUUGACUGCGAGAGUGACGGCUCGAGCAGGUGCGAAAGCAGGUCAUAGUGAUCCGGUGGUUCUGAAUGGAAGGGCCAUCGCUCAACGGAUAAAAGGUACUCCGGGGAUAACAGGCUGAUACCGCCCAAGAGUUCAUAUCGACGGCGGUGUUUGGCACCUCGAUGUCGGCUCAUCACAUCCUGGGGCUGAAGUAGGUCCCAAGGGUAUGGCUGUUCGCCAUUUAAAGUGGUACGCGAGCUGGGUUUAGAACGUCGUGAGACAGUUCGGUCCCUAUCUGCCGUGGGCGCUGGAGAAUUGAGGGGGGCUGCUCCUAGUACGAGAGGACCGGAGUGGACGCAUCACUGGUGUUCGGGUUGUCAUGCCAAUGGCACUGCCCGGUAGCUAAAUGCGGAAGAGAUAAGUGCUGAAAGCAUCUAAGCACGAAACUUGCCCCGAGAUGAGUUCUCCCUGAGACUUUAAGUCUCCUGAAGGAACGUUGAAGACUACGACGUUGAUAGGUCGGGUGUGUAAGCGCAGCGAUGCGUUGAGCUAACCGAUACUAAUGAACCGUGAGGCUUAACCUU